rnacentral:rRNA from 1 species
UACAGAGGUCUCAAGCGUUGCUCGGAAUCACUGGGCGUAAAGGGUGCGUAGGCGGCCGUGCAAGUCUGGCGUGAAAGCCCCGGGCUCAGCCCGGGAAGUGCGCUCGAAACUGCGCGGCUCGAGUGCCGGAGGGGAGAGUGGAAUUCCUGGUGUAGCGGUGAAAUGCGUAGAUAUCAGGAAGAACACCCGUGGCGAAGGCGGCUCUCUGGGACGGUACUGACGCUGAGACGCGAAAGCGUGGGGAGCGAACAGG